UUCUUUCUGUUUCAGCGCGUGUAUUACCUGUCUCUGGAGUUCUACAUGGGUCGGACUCUUCAGAACACGAUGGUGAACCUGGGCGUCCAGAACACGUGUGACGAAGCCAUGUACCAGUUGGGUUUGGACAUCGAGGAGCUGGAGGAGAUCGAGGAGGACGCUGGUUUGGGGAACGGAGGUCUGGGCCGUCUGGCGGCCUGUUUCUUGGACUCGAUGGCGACUCUGGGUCUGGCUGCUUACGGCUACGGGAUUCGCUACGAGUACGGAAUCUUCAACCAGAAGAUCAGAGACGGAUGGCAGGUGGAGGAGGCGGACGAUUGGCUGAGACACGGAAACCCCUGGGAGAAGGCGCGACCGGAAUAUAUGCUCCCAGUGCAUUUCUACGGACGCGUCGAGGAAACGAAGGACGGGUCCAGAUGGAUCGACACACAGGUGGUGCUGGCGAUGCCGUACGACACGCCCAUCCCCGGGUACAAGAACAACACGGUGAACACCAUGAGGCUGUGGUCGGCCCGAGCCCCAAACGACUUCAACCUGCGAGACUUUAACGUUGGAGAUUAUAUCCAGGCGGUUCUGGACCGAAACCUGGCAGAAAACAUCUCCAGAGUUCUUUACCCCAACGACAACUUUUUCGAGGGGAAGGAGCUGCGGCUGAAGCAGGAGUAUUUCGUGGUGGCUGCGACGCUUCAGGACAUCAUCAGAAGAUUCAAAACCACCAAGAAAGGAACUCCAGGGAGGACGUCGUUUGAGAGUUUCCCCGACAAGGUGGCGAUCCAGCUGAACGACACUCACCCGGCCAUGGCCAUCCCCGAGCUCAUGAGGAUCUUCGUGGACAUCGAGAAGCUGGACUGGGACGUGGCGUGGGAUCUGACCCGCCGCACCUUUGCCUACACCAACCACACGGUGCUGCCCGAGGCUCUGGAGCGAUGGCCCGUCAGGCUCAUGGAGACUCUGCUGCCCCGACACCUGCAGAUCAUCUACCAGAUCAACCAGAAGCACCUGGACAACAUCGCCGCUCUGUUUCCCGACGACAUGGACAAACUUCGUCAGAUGUCGUUGAUCGAGGAGGACGGAGAGAAGAGGGUGAACAUGGCUCAUCUGUGCAUCGUCGGCUCACACGCCGUCAACGGAGUCGCCGAGAUCCACUCCAACAUCAUCAAGACCCAAGUAUUCCGUAACUUCAGUGACCUGGAGCCGGAGAAGUUCCAGAAUAAAACCAACGGGAUCACGCCGCGGCGCUGGCUGCUCGUCUGCAACACGGGGCUGGUGGACGUCAUCGCUGAGGUCAUUGGGGAGGAUUUCAUCACUGACUUGAGUCAACUCAGAAAACUCAACGACUUUGUGGACGACAAACAUUUUCUACAAAACAUCAUGAAAGUCAAACAGGAGAACAAGUUGAAGUUCUCUCAGUACUUGGAGCGAGAAUAUCGAGUCAAAAUAAACCCGUCGUCCAUUUUCGACGUCCACGUGAAACGAAUCCACGAGUACAAGAGACAAGUCCUCAACUGUCUGCACAUCAUCCACCUCUACAACCAAAUCAGGAUGAACCCGAACGCCUCCUUCACUCCCCGGACGGUGAUCAUCGGGGGAAAGGCCGCCCCCGGGUACCACAUGGCCAAGAUGAUCAUUAAACUCAUCACGUCGGUGGCGAAUGUGGUGAACCACGACCCCCUGGUGGGAGACAAACUCAAAGUCAUUUUCCUGGAGAAUUACAGGGUUUCACUGGCCGAGAAAGUGAUCCCGGCGACCGACCUGUCGGAGCAGAUCUCCACGGCCGGGACGGAGGCGUCCGGCACCGGGAACAUGAAGUUCAUGUUGAACGGAGCUUUGACCAUCGGCACCAUGGACGGAGCCAACGUGGAGAUGGCAGAAGAAGCAGGACGAGAAAACAUCUUCAUAUUUGGAAUGAAGGUGGAAGACGUCCAGGAGAUGGACGAGAAGGGUUACGACGCCUUGACCUACUACGAGUCUCUGCCGCAGCUCAAACAGGUGAUGGACCAAAUCACCGGAGGAUUCUUCAGCCCCAAGAACCCGGCGCAGUUUAAAGACCUGACGGACAUGCUCUUCAAACACGACCGAUUCAAAGUUUUUGCUGAUUUUGAAGAUUACGUGAAAUGUCAAGAGCGAGUGAGCAAACUGUUCCAGGACCCGGUGGCCUGGACAAAGAUGGUGGUCAGAAACAUCGCGGCCACGGGGAAGUUCUCCAGCGACCGAACCAUCUCCGAAUACGCCCGAGAAAUCUGGAACGUGGAGCCGAGUAACAUCAAGAUCCCUCCUCCCUGCGAACCUCUGCGCGUCGACAACCUCACCGCCUAGACCGGACCAGACCGGACCAGACCAGACCGGACCUCCAGAGCCUCUGCACGUGGACAACCUCACCAGUUAGAUCCUCCAGACCAGUGAGACCUUCUGACCGGACCAGACCUCCAGAUCAGUUAGAACCACAAACCAUCUGACCUGACCUCCUGACCGGACGACUGGACCAGGGACUAGACCAGGACUGGACCAGGACUAGACCUUUUUAUUUUGAGUCUCACCUGUCUCACCUGUCGUCCUGCUCAGUUUUAAAGUUACACUCUGGAACUUUUCCCCGUCUCCAUGGAGAUGCCCAGAAUGUUCCUCUGUUCGGCUUUAAACUUUUCUGACUCUGUAGAGACGAAAAACCAGGACGAGUCUGCGAGACGUUUACGACCACGACUCGUUUCACUGGUCAGAAAUAUCAGAGUAAUAAAGUUUUUAAAGCCAAACUGCGGAACAUUUCAGGCGCACAAACACACACACACACACACACACACUGACACACACACAUGCAUAUACACACACACACACACACACACACACACACACACACACACACACACACACAUGCAUAUACACACACACACAUGCAUAUACACACACACACACACACACAUGCAUAUACACACACACACACACAUGCAUAUACACACACACACACACAUGCACACACACACAUGCAUAUACACACACACACACACAUGCAUAUACACACACACACACACAUGCAUAUACACACACACACAUGCAUAUACACACACACACACACAUGCAUAUACACACACACACACACACAUGCAUAUACACACACACACACACAUGCAUAUACACACACACACACACAUGCAUAUACACACACACACAUGCAUAUACACACAUACACACACACACAUGCAUAUACACACACACACACAUGCAUAUACACA